GCGAGAUAGCCAAGUGGUAAGGCAUGGGUCUGCAACACCCUGAGCGCCGGUUCGAAUCCGACUCUCGC
rnacentral:tRNA from 1 species